GAGUUUGAUUAUGGCUCAGGAUGAACGCUGGCGGCGUGCCUAACACAUGCAAGUCGAACGGAGAACUUAAGUGGAAGUUUUCGGAUGGAAACUUUUGUUCUUAGUGGCGGACGGGUGAGUAACGCGUGGGCAACCUGCCUCAUACAGGGGGACAACAGACGGAAACGUCUGCUAAGACCGCAUACGUCUUUUUGGUCGCAUGACUGAGAAGGGAAAAGAGCAAUCUGGUAUGAGAUGGGCCCGCGUCUGAUUAGCUAGUUGGUAAGGUAACGGCUUACCAAGGCGACGAUCAGUAGCCGGACUGAGAGGUCGGACGGCCACAUUGGGACUGAGACACGGCCCAAACUCCUACGGGAGGCAGCAGUGGGGGAUAUUGCACAAUGGAGGAAACUCUGAUGCAGCGACGCCGCGUGAGUGAAGAAGUAUUUCGGUAUGUAAAGCUCUAUCAGCAGGGA
rnacentral:rRNA from 1 species